UGCGGGGUAGAGCAGUUGGUAGCUCGUUGGGCUCAUAACCCAAAGGUCACUGGUUCGAGUCCAGUCCCCGCUA
rnacentral:tRNA from 1 species